rnacentral:lncRNA from 1 species
GAUGGGGUUUACAAGUUGGUUAGUCUCCUUUUAAGGUUAUGCUCUUGAAACUACUUAUCAUGUUUUCAACUAGAUUUCGAAUUAAUCAGUCGUACAGAUUUCGUAUGAGAUAUGGACUAGGCAUAAGCCGAUACUUUCUUACCUUAGGAUUUAAGAGUGUUUGUUUUAUAUCAAGCAUUUAUAGACUGAUUAGCUUAGAUCCCGAUCUUAUAUGUAUUAUUUUAGGAUAACCUCAAAGAAUCUAGGAGAUAUUACUUCUAUCUUGAUGAAGAACAAAAGUUGUUCGAUAUUUUUUGUAGA